rnacentral:rRNA from 1 species
GACGAACGCUGGCGGCGUGCUUAACACAUGCAAGUCGAGCGGUAAGGCCCUUUCGGGGGUACGACGAGCGGCGAACGGAUGAGUAACACGUGGGUGACCUGCCCUCCAGCUCUGGGAUAAGCCUGGGAAACCGGGUCUAAUACCGGAUAUGACUCCAUGACGCAUGUUGUGGGGUGGAAAGCCUUGUGCGGCUGAGGAUGGGCCCGCGGCCUAUCAGCUUGUUGGUGGGGUGAGGCCUACCAAGGCGACGACGGGUAGCCGGCCUGAGAGGGCGACCGGCCACACUGGGACUGAGACACGGCCCAGACUCCUACGGGAGGCAGCAGUGGGGAAUCUUGCGCAAUGGGCGAAAGCCUGACGCAGCGACGCCGCGUGAGGGA